ensembl:misc_RNA Metazoa_SRP Metazoan signal recognition particle RNA
GCCAGGCGUGGUAGUGCACGCCUGUAAUCCCAGCUACUUGGGAGGCUGAGGCAAAAGAAUCGCUUGAACCCGGGAGGUGGAGGAUGCAGUGAGCUGAGAUCACACCACUGCACUCCAGCCUGGGUGACAGAGUGAGACUCUGUCUCAA